rfam:Citrus sinensis cultivar Ridge Pineapple sweet orange scaffold00098_contig_53, whole genome shotgun sequence.
GCAGGUCUGGCUCAGUUGGUGAAGUGCAAGGCUCUUAACCUUGUGGUCGUGGGGUCGAUCCCCACGGAGGGCG